UUACUAUUUUGAUUUUUUUAGUUACAUAUGAUAAAACAUGAGAAAAAUUACCUGUGGCAAAAGUUUGUUCAGACUUUUUUUCAAUCAACAACAGUAAAACCCUGAUAAAUUUAGAAGAAAACAGAUUUCAGAAACGUCUUUGUCCUACCAGGUGAUGAUCAUGAUGAUUGCGAUGAUGAUAUGAUAUACGUGAUAAUGAUGAGCAUAUGUAAUUUAGAUCGUGAUCAUCAUAUCAUGAUGUUCGUUCACUUUCAGUAUUUUAUAGAAAUGUAUAUUAUCACAAAUUUGUAUAUUUAAGUUAAGAAACUGACACUCUACAGUUACUUAAAAAAAAUAAAAGAAAGUUGUAAAUAAUAAAGACACUUGCUCCAGCCCGUUCUAUUCCUCCUUUAACAUUUUUAUGUAUUGAAAAUUUGACUUCAGAUUAUUUAAAAUAUAACUACUUUUUAAAACAAGGCUCUGCCUCUGAAGUUUUAGAAAAGGAUGUAUUUUUAUACUUUUUUCUUUUGAAUAUUCUUUUUUAUUUUUGUAACUGAAUUCCAAUAUGUUCUGAAACAAUAUUUUAGUUAGUUUAUGUAAACAAGGCACAAAUAUGCAUCAAAAUUUAUCAAGUUAAAUUGAUGGACAUACUUUUUUCGAAAGCAGUGAGACAACUGAUGGGAUGGAGACCCAUCCACUUCUAUGAUGAUAUUAACUUACUUGCGUGCUGAUCAGUUGCUGGAUGAAUUAAAGCUCUCAUAGCUCCCUAAAUCAGUAUUGUAUCAUCAGUUGCAUCUAAUGCUACAAUUGAAGCACAUAAUGCUGUGAAAAUAAAAGCUUUAACUUAAGGAGCAUCAGGAGAAAAGUUUAAACAUUAACUGAAGAGAUAUUUUUUGCUUUUUGGGGAUUGAAAUGGCGGACAAAUAGCUCGAGAGGAACGUUCUUUAUAUAAAAAGUUGUUUACAUAAAAGACAAUUUAAACUUUUAA